ACCCCUAACCCCAGUCUAACCACAGGAAAGACAUCAGAAAGGCCAAGAUUUUGAGGCAUUCUCUGAAACACGUCAUGGAAGACAAGAGAAGAUUGAGAAACCGUCAUAGAACAGAGUGGACUAAGGAGAUACGAUGACUAAAAGAUUGCUGCUGCUGAGUUCACCUCCCCCUCCAGAGAAAGCUGCCCUCAAUGCUAGCUCAGAGGAAAAGGCUUCUGCUGCACUUAGGGUUCAACAACAUCUCUUCCUCUUCAGGUCUCUCCUGCUGUGAGCAAACUAAGACGUUUACUGACCAAAAUUCAACGUGUAGUAGCUAAGCUCAUGGAAUCCGACAAGCCGUGUGACCUUGGGCCAGUUACUCUUGGCACCUCUAUUUCUUCCUCUGGAAAAAGAAAUGAUUGUAAUAGUGCCUACUUCGCUGUGUUGCUCCGAUCAGUAUAAACUGAAUUAAAACACGUGAAGCAGUCAGACUCGGUCCACAUACGGCGUUCCAAGACCCAUGGGUUCCCCCACGGCGGGUGUUCAGCAGACAGAGAGCUAAUUCUUGGUGGAGAAGGAUGGAUCGGCGUGAAGAGGGAGAUUUUGAAGUUUUCCCCACCUGGAGAUAAGCAGGUGUGCUAAUGGACACACUGUCAGCCGCCGAGGCAGGAGAGGAAGGUUCUGGAUCUUCAGUGCGCAGACCGCCCGAGGAGAGUGGCCCAAGUGGUCCCAAUCUGGCAACCAGCACUUAGAUAAACGAGAGA